rnacentral:rRNA from 1 species
UGGGGAAUAUUGGACAAUGGGCGAAAGCCUGAUCCAGCCAUGCCGCGUGUGUGAAGAAGGUCUUCGGAUUGUAAAGCACUUUAAGUUGGGAGGAAGGGCAGUAAGCGAAUACCUUGCUGUUUUGACGUUACCGACAGAAUAAGCACCGGCUAACUCUGUGCCAGCAGCCGCGGUAAUACAGAGGGUGCAAGCGUUAAUCGGAAUUACUGUGCGUAAAGCGUGCGUAGGCGGCUAAUUGAGUCGGAUGUGAAAUCCCCGAGCUUAACUUGGGAAUUGCAUUCGAUACUGGUUAGCUAGAGUGUGGGAGAGGAUGGUAGAAUUCCAGGUGUAGCGGUGAAAUGCGUAGAGAUCUGGAGGAAUACCGAUGGCGAAGGCAGCCAUCUGGCCUAACACUGACGCUGAGGUACGAAAGCAUGGGGAGCAAACAGG